rnacentral:rRNA from 1 species
GACGAACGCUGGCGGCGUGCUUAACACAUGCAAGUCGAGCGGAAAGGCCACUUCGGUGGUACUCGAGCGGCGAACGGGUGAGUAACACGUGAGUAAUCUGCCCUUGGCUUUGGGAUAGCCACCGGAAACGGUGAUUAAUACCGGAUACGACCACUUCUCGCAUGGGAUGGUGGUGGAAAGUUUUUUCGGCCAGGGAUGUGCUCGCGGCCUAUCAGCUUGAUGGUGAGGUAAUGGCUCACCAUGGCUUCGACGGGUAGCCGGCCUGCGAGGGUGACCGGUCACACUGGGACUGAGACACGGCCCAGACUCCUACGGGAGGCAGCAGUGGGGAAGAUUGGACAAUGGGCGGAAGCCUGAUCCAGCAACGCCGCGUGAGGGAUGACGGCCUUCGGAUUGUAAACCUCUUUCAGCAGGGACGAAGCGCAAGUGACGGUACCUGCAGAAGAAGCACCGGCCAACUACGUGCCAGCCGCCGCAGUAAGAC